UAAGAGAGAGAGAGAUCCACAGUAGUCUCCUCCAUCUCCCAACCUAAAGCUCAAUAACCAGUCGUCCAGUCUAGGGUUUUUCUACCACCACUCCCCUCUCCCUCUAGGUUUUACUCUCUCUCUCUCUCUCUCUCUCUCUCUCUCUGUGUGUGUGCAAUGGAACCUUCCAAGAAGCGAAAAGCCGACGAGAACGGAGCCUCCUCUCCUACUCCCUCACCCCUCCUCACCUCCGACGACGCCCGCAAGCUCCUCGAACCCCUAACCCACGACCACCUCCUCCAGAUCCUCGCCCCUGCCCUCCUCUGCCACCCCGACCUCCUCUCCUCGGCCCGCUCCCUCGCUGACCCCGACCCCUCCCGCCGCAAGCUCUUCGUCCGCGGCCUUGGCCCCGACACAACCACCGACAAGCUCCGAUCGCUCUUCUCCUCCCACGGUCCCAUUGAUGAAGCCGUCGUGAUCACCGACAAGAACACGGGCAAGUCCAAGGGCUACGGCUUCGUCACGUACAAGCACGUCGACGGCGCUAUCUUGGCCCUUAAAGAGCCCAGCAAGAAAAUCGACGGUAGGAUGACGGUAACCCAACUGGCGGCGGUUGGGGUUUCUGCCACCGGAGCCGCUGACGUGGCAGCGAGGAAGAUUUACGUGGGGAACGUGCCGUUUGAGAUAUCGGCGGAGAGGUUGUUGGGGCACUUCUUGGCGUAUGGGGAGGUGGAGGAGGGGCCGCUAGGGUUUGAUAAGAGUACGGGGAAGGCUAAGGGUUUUGCGUUUUUUAUUUAUAAGAGUGAGGAAGGGGCUAGGGCUUCACUUGUUGAUCCGGCUAAGAAUAUUGAUGGGCACCAGGUGACGUGUAAGUUGGCCGUGGAUGGGGGGAAGAAGGCUGUGAUAAAGUCGGUUACCGGGCCGAACAAUGGAGUUGAUAGUAAUAGGGUUGGUGGGUCCAUGCCGAAUUCGAGCUAUGGUGGGCCUGGUGGCGGCGGGUAUGGAGGGUUUACUGGUGCGCCUCCGCCAAUGAUGGCCCACCAGAAUCUGCAUUCGAAUUCACCGUUGCCGCCUUCAUCUGGAGGUGGUCCAGGGUUUGGGAACCAGGGGCCCCCUCUGUAUGGGGGUGGGGGUGGGGGUGGGGGUGUUGGUGGGUAUGGUGGGGGUUUUGGUGGGGGACAGUAUGGGGGACCGGCUUCGGGCGAAUAUGGUGGAUUGAGCAAUGCUGGUUCUUUUGGGAAUAGGGUGCCCCCUAGUUCUGUUGGAAUGCCAUCUGGGGGAUACCCAGAGAGUGGUGGAAAUUAUGGACUAUCUUCUUCGGGUUUUCCAACUCCAUUGAACCAACCUUCGUCUGGUCCUAGAGGUCCUCCCGGUGGAAUGUACCAGGGUAUGCCACCCUAUUAUUAAGGUGUUUGUUUGGAUCCUACAUGAGAAAUAAUUGUUCAUGUUCCAGCCAAUGCAUCCAAUAUUGUGAGAAGGGGUUGACCGUUUUAGUGGCAAGGAGCUUCCCGAUGAUUGAAGACCCUUGACACAAGAACGGUGGAGGAUGAGAGGAUUUCACCAUGGGUAAAGCAUGGAGAAUUUGACUCUGACCGGAAUUACUAUUCCUUGGUGCUGGAAAUCCAUAAAUUUUCCCGCAAAUACUGUCUCCAAAGCAGCAAAAACAGGGAAGCACGAGGAAGGAGCAGCAAAAACAGGGAAGCACGUGAGAGGAGUUAUCGGAUAUACUAUUCCAAGAGAGCAAGCAAGAGAGCAAAAACACCUGUUAUUUCAGAUCAACUGUGAUGACUCUGCCAUAGUGACAGUGGGGACCAAAGAAAGUUCGUUAUUAUGGGUUUCAAACUGGCUGGGUUGCAUUUGGAGAAAUGGAACGUAAGUAGUGUUUGCGAAAGAAGCCACUGUCCUUUAUAUAGAAUUUCUGACAUAUGAACGGUUGUGUAAAGGUACAACCCGAGUACACUAGCGAGCAAACUGUAGGACCAACAGAAACAAUGUAAUAUAACAAGACAAAUUUUGUUGCGUUAAUGCCGUUCACAAAACGUGAAUCAGAUGUACAAUUUCAGUUGUGUUCACGAAUCAUUCAUAAAGUUUGAACAACGUAGAAGUUUUGUUUCUUAAA